GACGUAGGAGGCGAGCUUGUCCGGAUUCAUUGGGCGUAAAGAGCACGCAGGCGGUUUGGCAAGUCGGAUGUGAAAACCCGAAGCUCAACUUCGGGCCUGCAUCCGAAACUGCCCGAACUAGAGGUAGGUAGGGGAGAUCGGAAUUCCGUGGUGUAGCGGUGAAAUGCGCAGAUAUCAGGAGGAACACCGGUGGCGAAGGCGGGUCGCCGUGGGC
rnacentral:rRNA from 1 species